UUUAAUCAAUACCUUCAUUGAUGAUCUGGAUGAGAUCAGGCAAACCAUGGGACUUGAUGCCCUCAUUGGUUUGAUAUUUUAAUCAAUAUCUUCAUUGAUGAUCUGGAUGGGGGCACCAAGGUCAGGCUGACCAUGGGACUUGAUGCCCUCAUUGAUUUGAUAUUUUAAUUAAUACCUUCAUUGAUGAUCUGGAUGAGAUCAGGCAAAUCAUGGAACUCGAUACCACUCAUUGAUUUGAUAUUUUUAGUCAAUAUCUUCAUUGAUGAUCUGGAUGAGAUCAGGCUGACCAUGGGGUUUGAUAUUAUUAGUCAAUGUCUUCAUUGAUGAUCUGGAUGAGAUCAGGCUGACAAUGGGAUUGAUAUUUUUAAGUCAAUAUCUUCAUUGAUGAUCUUGAUGGGGUCACCAAGAUCAGGCUGGACCAUGGACUUGAUACCCUCAUUGAUUUGAUAUUUUAAUCAAUAUCUUCAUUGAUGAUCUGGAUGGGGUCACCGAGGUCAAGGUGACCAUGGGACUUGAUGCCCUCAUUGAUUUGAUAUUUUUAAUCAAUAUCUUCAUUGAUGAUCUGGAUGGGGUCACCAAGAUCAGGCUGACCAUGGGACUUGAUACCCUCAUUGAUUUGAUAUUUUUAAUCAAUAUCUUCAUUGAUGAUCUGGAUGGGAUCACUGAAGUCAAGGUGACCAUGGGACUUGAUGCCCUCAUUGAUUUGAUAUUUUCAAUCAAUAUCUUCAUCAAUUAUCAGGUGGCAUCAGACUGACCAUGGGACUUG